UUGGCUCCCAUUUAACCAGCCCAAGUAAC
rnacentral:piRNA from 1 species